CCUACGGGUGGCUGCAGCUAAGAAUCUUCCGCAAUGGGGGAAACCCUGACGGAGCGACGCCGCGUGGACGAUGAAGGCCGUAAGGUUGUAAAGUCCUUUUAUUGGUGAAGAAUGAGGGGGGGAGUGGAAAGCCCUCCUGAUGACGUUAGCCGAUGAAUAAGCCCCGGCCAAUUACGUGCCAGCAGCCGCGGUAAUACGUAUGGGGCAAGCGUUGGUCGGAGUUAUGUGGCCGGCUGGGCGUGUAGGGGGUGAAAAUGCAGGGGUCAACCCUGCAAUUGCGCUGGAAACUGGUGGGCUGGAGUCCCUGAGGGGAAGCUGGAAUUCCAGGUGUAGGGGUGAAAUCUGUAGAUAUCUGGAAGAACACCGGUGGCGAAGGCGAGCUUCUAUCAGAGGACUGACGCUGAGGCGCGAAAGCGUGGGGAGCAAACAGGAUUAGAUACCCUAGUAGUC
rnacentral:rRNA from 1 species